rnacentral:tRNA from 1 species
GGUUGUGGUUCAGUGGUAGAACACUUGCCUAUCAUGUAUGAGGCACUGGGUUCAAUCCCUAGCACCA